GCUUUAGUUCAGUAGUAGAGCACCUGCCUUGCAUGCAGAAGUUCCUGGGUUCAGUCCCCAUAGGGGUAAGUA